rnacentral:piRNA from 1 species
AAUGUUUCUAGGUGGCAUUCAAACU